UACGUAGGGGGCUAGCGUUAUCCGGAAUUACUGGGCGUAAAGGGUGCGUAGGCGGUCUUUCAAGCCAGAAGUGAAAGGCUACGGCUCAACCGUAGUAAGCUUUUGGAACUGUAAGACUUGAGUGCAGGAGAGGAGAGUGGAAUUCCUAGUGUAGCGGUGAAAUGCGUAGAAAUCAGGAGGAAUACUAGUGGCGAAGGCGGCUUUCUGAACUGACCCUGACGCUGAGGUGCGAAAGCGUGGGGAGCAAACAGGAUUAGAUACCCCGGUAGUCCCUGAGCGGG
rnacentral:rRNA from 1 species